rnacentral:rRNA from 1 species
CAAUAGCGUAUAUUAAAGUUGUUGCAGUUAAAAAGCUCGUAGUUGGAUUUCUGGUGGGAGCGAUCGGUCUGGCGCUUAGCGCGAGUACUUGCAUCGUCUCCGGCCAUCCUUGGGGAAAGUCUGUCUGGCAUUAAGUUGUCGGGCAGAGGAUCCUCAUCGUUUACUGUGAAAAAAUUAGAGUGUUCAAAGCAGGCUUAUGCCGUUGAAUAUAUUAGCAUGGAAUAAUAAGAUAGGACUUUGGUACUAUUUUGUUGGUUUGCGCACCAAAGUAAUGAUUAAUAGGGACAGUUGGGGGUAUUCGUAUUCCGUUGUCAGAGGUGAAAUUCUUGGAUUUACGGAAGACGAACUACUGCGAAAGCAUUUACCAAGGAUGUUUUCGUUAA